rnacentral:rRNA from 1 species
AUGCUGAAUGAGCCAGCCCCAUAUUCUCACCAAACACCCCAACAAACUGCGUACUUUGAAGAAAAUCAAAUACGAUCGAGCCCCCAACAAACUUUAACUACCGCUAACAGACAGGUACUGCAACGUAUACACCAAAUUAUACAACGUACCAGAUGUUUGUCUCCGUCCUCGCUCGCCUACCAACCAUUACCAAUGCAGCAGUACAAACAAAGUCAAACAAUCCUUCCCUCCAUCGGCCUCGCCUACUCUCUCCCUUUCUCUUCUGUCUUCUCCCCCGACCCAACCACCAUGACAGCAAACCAUCACCGCCACAUGACCCAAACGCCCCCGCCACAAAAGCCUCUGCUAAUGAUAUCAGCAGCCAAUAUCUCUCUAUCUUGA